CGAUACGGGACUCAUCCGAGGCCCCGUAAUCGGAAUGAGUACACUCUAAACCCUUUAACGAGGAUCAAUUGGAGGGCAAGUCUGGUGCCAGCAGCCGCGGUAACACCAGCUCCAAAAGCGUAUAUUAAAGUUGUUGCGGUUAAAAAGCUCGUAGUCGAAUUUGUGUCCCGCGCCGCCGGUUCAUCGCUCGCGGUGUCAACUGGCGUGUCCGCGGGACGUCCUGCCGGUGGGCUUAGCCUUUCGGGGCGGCCCAAUUUCAAUCCCACCGCGGUGCUCUUUACUGAGUGUCGAGGUGGGCCGGCACGUUUACUUUGAACAAAUUAGAGUGCUUAAAGCAGGCUAAAACAUCGCCUGAAUACUGUGUGCAUGGAAUAAUGGAAUAGGACCUCGGUUCUAUUUUGUUGGUUUUCGGAACCCCGAGGUAAUGAUUAAUAGGAACGGAUGGGGGCAUUCGUAUUGCGACGUUAGAGGUGAAAUUCUUGGAUCGUCGCAAGACGGACAGAAGCGAAAGCAUUUGCCAAAAACGCUUUCAUUGAUCAAGAACGAAAGUUAGAGGUUCGAAGGCGAUCAGAUACCGCCCUAGUUCUAACCAUAAACGAUGCCAGCUAGCGAUCCGCCGACGUUCCUCCGAUGACUCGGCGGGCAGCUUCCGGGAAACCAAAGCUUUUGGGAUCCGGGGGAAGUAUGGUUGCAAAGCUGAAACUUAAAGGAAUUGACGGAAGGGCACCACCAGGAGUGGAGCCUGCGGCUUAAUUUGACUCAACACGGGAAACCUCACCAGGCCCGGACACCGGAAGGAUUGACAGAUUGAGAG
rnacentral:rRNA from 1 species